CGUCUACCUAUAUCUGUCUCCUACUCUCUUUCCCCUCCUUCCUCACGCCUCUCUCACCACGCUUCGCUCCGACAAACAGGCUCCGUCUGUCACCGUUCUCCUCAAGCAGCAAGAUGGCGGCUGAUAAGUGGCUGGCUGUGUCAGUUGUGUCUGACUGACCUUAUCCUGGACUACGAGGUCUACUUAAAGAAUGAUCCUCGCGGCAGACGUGACAGGCGACGACGCUUCGGCAGGACCCGCCCGCGCGCUCGUUCGCACCUAUCUCUCUCUCUCUCUCUCCCUCCCACUCUUUUUUUUUCCUCUCUUUCUCUUCCCCUCCCUCUCACUCACCCUCUUGUUCGAUUCGAAAAUCACCGAGAGCCCCCGCGUACCUCUCUCUUUCGUUGCAGGCCGCGAGAACGGAGGCGAUUUGCGCGGCGGUGACGGCUACACGGCCUACCUCUUCGGAGUAAUUCGGAGAAACUUUAGCGAGCGAUUCCCCGCGCGCGCGCGCAAUCGAUGACGAGUCGCGGAGACGUGACGGCGACGUUGCGCGCUACAUACGCCGCACACCUACACCUACACUUUUAUUAUUAUCAUUAUAGCUGGUCUUAUAGCAUUAGCGGCACACGGUUGCCUCACCUUUUCAGGUGCAGCCGUCUGUGAUCUUCCUGUUUUUUGUAAUCACUCUUAUAUUUAUGAUUCAAUAAAGAUUUAUUAUUAUUAUUACUAUUAUUAAUGAUAUAGAUCUGAGCUAAUUAUAAAAUUAUCGUUGCUGCCUCUCGAGGUGCAGCUCCAGUCUGUAUAAUCGCUCUUAUCGUUCAUAUAGUACAUGAAUUCCAGCAAUGUUGCGGCGAUCUUUUAGCAACAUUGGAAUGUUUCAACAAUAUUGUAGCAACAUCACAACGCUCCAACAAUAUUACAAUAGUAUUGUAACGUCCCAACAAUAUUGCAAUGUUUAACAACAUUGUACCAGCAUUGCAACGUUCCAACAAUUUUGGAGUAACAUAGCGACUGUUACUCUGUGCUAUAUAGAUAUACUUGUACCUUAAUAAAGUUAUUAUGAUUUGUUAUCUUCAUAUAAACUCUCAUGCCUACAUCUACACCCACGGUGGGAUGUGGGACGCAAACGCCAGCGAAGCACACUCCUCCUCUUCGAUGACAAAAAUAAGAACGCUGAGGUGUGGACUUUGUCAUCUCAUCGCAGUUAAUCUGCUUCGCGUGUGACUCUCACCCGACUCGUUGCCGCAACGUCACAAUCAUUCUCGCUGACAAUAUAAACAAUCAAAGAGAUCGAUACGCCUUUGCACUCUGAAAUCAAUAUAACGCGAACACUGUUAUUAGGUCGCAAAAGAGAACUUUAAAAGUUCGGAAAAUGUCAGUCUCUUCUCGAGAUUCACCUACUUCAGUUCAAAAUUUGAAUUUAAAAUUUCGAAUGCGCGAGAUACAGAAUACAGGAAUGCAGGAAAAUUACAUUCGGGAAGGCGAUAUAUCGAUACAUCGAUUUGCCGAAGCGCUGCAAUAUAAAUGAAUGUAUCCACUGGAUAUGAACACUAUGAACGAUUCACCGGGUAUUCACAAAUAUGGU